CGGGGCGGGGGUGCCCACCUGCCCACCCUCAGCAUCCUCCUUGCCUUGUUUUUGCUUUUCUUUCCUCACUUCCCCUCCCUGCCCCAGGAUGUGGGGAGGAGAGGAAGUAGCAGGGGACAUCUGUUUUCCGCACCGUGGACGCCCAAUAAAUGCUAUUGACUGAAUGAUGUUCAGGUCUGAAGCCAAAACCGAAAUCCCCAGCUGCUUUAACAGAAGGCCAACGCAGCUCUGUUCCCCGUACGCACUGCCUGGCAAAAGACAACUGAUGUGGCGUGAAGGAGAGAGAAGAGGUGUAUGAAUAAUAUUCUUCUGACAAGAAAAAGAAAGCAAGAGGUAGGAGAAUAUAAACCUGAAGUUUCACUCUUCUUGCCCAGUCUGGACUGCAAUGGCACGACCUCACCUCACUGCA